rnacentral:rRNA from 1 species
UACGUAGGGACCGAGCGUUGUCCGGAAUUAUUGGGCGUAAAGAGCUCGUAGGCGGUCUGUUACGUCUGCUGUGAAAACCCGGGGCUUAACCCUGGGCUUGCAGUGGAUACGGGUAGACUAGAGGCAGGUAGGGGAGAAUGGAAUUCCCGGUGUAGCGGUGAAAUGCGCAGAUAUCAGGAGGAACACCGGUGGCGAAGGCGGGUCUCUGGGCCGAUACUGACGCUGAGUGAGCGAAAGCCAGGGGAGCAAACGGG